GAAAGAUGGCUUUGGCUAUCACUCUGGGAUGGACCUGCGGUGCAUUAGCUAGUUGGUAAGGUAACGGCUUACCAAGGCGAUGAUGCAUAGCCGAGUUGAGAGACUGAUCGGCCACAAUGGAACUGAGACACGGUCCAUACUCCUACGGGAGGCAGCAGUAGGGAAUCUUCCACAAUGGGCGCAAGCCUGAUGGAGCAACACCGCGUGAGUGAAGAAGGGUUUCGGCUCGUAAAGCUCUGUUGUUGGAGAAGAACGUGCGUGAGAGUAACUGUUCACGCAGUGACGGUAUCCAACCAGAAAGUCACGGCUAACUACGUGCCAGCAGCCGCGGUAAUACGUAGGUGGCAAGCGUUAUCCGGAUUUAUUGGGCGUAAAGCGAGCGCAGGCGGUUGCUUAGGUCUGAUGUGAAAGCCUUCGGCUUAACCGAAGAAGUGCAUCGGAAACCGGGCGACUUGAGUGCAGAAGAGGACAGUGGAACUCCAUGUGUAGCGGUGGAAUGCGUAGAUAUAUGGAAGAACACCAGUGGCGAAGGCGGCUGUCUGGUCUGCAACUGACGCUGAGGCUCGAAAGCAUGGGUAGCGAACAGGAUUAGAUACCCUGGUAGUCCAUGCCGUAAACGAUGAGUGCUAGGUGUUGGAGGGUUUCCGCCCUUCAGUGCCGG
rnacentral:rRNA from 1 species